rnacentral:rRNA from 1 species
UGGGGAGUAUUGCACAAUGGGGAGGACCCUGAUGCAGCGACGCCGCGUGAGCGAAGAAGAUCUUCGGAUUGUAAAGCUCUGUCUUAGGGGACGAUGAUGACGGUACCCUGAGAGGAAGCCACGGCUAACUACGUGCCAGCAGCCGCGGUAAUACGUAGGUGGCAAGCGUUAUCCGGAUUUACUGGGUGUAAAGGGAGCGCAGGCGGUCUUGCAAGUCUGAUGUGAAAGCCCGCGGCUCAACUGCGGGACUGCAUUGGAAACUGUGGGACUUGAGUGCCGGAGGGGCAAGUGGAAUUCCUAGUGUAGCGGUGAAAUGCGUAGAUAUUAGGAGGAACACCAGUGGCGAAGGCGGCUUGCUGGACGACAACUGACGCUGAGGCUCGAAAGCGUGGGGAGCAAACAGGAUUAGAUACC